rnacentral:rRNA from 1 species
ACGUAGGUGGCAAGCGUUGUCCGGAAUUAUUGGGCGUAAAGCGAGCGCAGGCGGUUUUUUAAGCGCGGGGUGAAAGGCAAUGGCUUAACCAUUGUCAGCCUUGGGAACUGGGGGGCUUGAGUGCAGAAGAGGAGAGUGGAAUUCCAAGUGUAGCGGUGAAAUGCGUAGAUAUAAGGAGGAACACCAGUGGCGAAGGCGACUCUCUGGUCUGUAACUGACGCUGAGGCGCGAAAGUGUGGGGAGCAAACAG